rnacentral:rRNA from 1 species
GGAGCCGGCCUUGAAAUACCACCCUUUAAUGUUUGAUGUUCUAACGUGGACCCGUUACCCGGGUUGCGGACAGUGUCUGGUGGGUAGUUUGACUGGGGCGGUCUCCUCCUAAAGAGUAACGGAGGAGCACGAAGGUUGGCUAAUCCUGGUCGGACAUCAGGAGGUUAGUGCAAUGGCAUAAGCCAGCUUGACUGCGAGCGUGACGGCGCGAGCAGGUGCGAAAGCAGGUCAUAGUGAUCCGGUGGUUCUGAAUGGAAGGGCCAUCGCUCAACGGAUAAAAGGUACUCCGGGGAUAACAGGCUGAUACCGCCCAAGAGUUCAUAUCGACGGCGGUGUUUGGCACCUCGAUGUCGGCUCAUCACAUCCUGGGGCUGAAGUAGGUCCCAAGGGUAUGGCUGUUCGCCAUUUAAAGUGGUACGCGAGCUGGGUUUAGAACGUCGUGAGACAGUUCGGUCCCUAUCUGCCGUGGGCGCUGGAGAACUGAGGGGGGCUGCUCCUAGUACGAGAGGACCGGAGUGGACGCAUCACUGGUGUUCGGGUUGUCAUGCCAAUGGCACUGCCCGGUAGCUAAAUGCGGAAGAGAUAAGUGCUGAAAGCAUCUAAGCACGAAACUUGCCCCGA